rnacentral:ncRNA from 2 species
GUAAAGGCACAAGGGAGCUUGACUGCGAGACCUACAAGUCGAGCAGGGACGAAAGUCGGGCUUAGUGAUCCGGUGGUUCCGCAUGGAAGGGCCAUCGCUCAACGGAUAAAAGCUACCCCGGGGAUAACAGGCUUAUCUCCCCCAAGAGUUCACAUCGACGGGGAGGUUUGGCACCUCGAUGUCGGCUCAUCGCAUCCUGGGGCUGUAGUCGGUCCCAAGGGUUGGGCUGUUCGCCCAUUAAAGCGGUACGCGAGCUGGGUUCAGAACGUCGUGAGACAGUUCGGUCCCUAUCCGUCGCGGGCGCAGGAAAUUUGAGAGGAGCUGUCCUUAGUACGAGAGGACCGGGAUGGACGCACCGCUGGUGUACCAGUUGUCUCGCCAGAGGCAUAGCUGGGUAGCUAUGUGCGGAAGGGAUAAGUGCUGAAAGCAUCUAAGCAUGAAGCCCCCCUCAAGAUGAGAUUUCCCUGGCUUUAUAGCCUAAGACCCCUGAAAGAUGAUCAGGUUGAUAGGUCCGAGGUAGAAGUGUGGUGACACAUG